UAGGGAAUAUUGGUCAAUGGGUGAGAGCCUGAACCAGCCAUGCCGCGUGCAGGAAGAAGGCCUUCUGGGUCGUAAACUGCUUUUGCCGGGGAAUAAAAAGCCCAUGCGUGGGAAACUGAAGGUACCCGGUGAAUAAGCCACGGCUAACUACGUGCCAGCAGCCGCGGUAAUACGUAGGUGGCGAGCGUUGUCCGGAUUUAUUGGGUUUAAAGGGUGCGUAGGCGGCCAUGUAAGUCAGUGCUGAAAUAUCCCGGCUUAACCGGGAGGGUGGCAUUGAUACUGUGUGGCUUGAGUGGAGCCGAGGUAGGCGGAAUUGACGGUGUAGCGGUGAAAUGCAUAGAUAUCGUCAAGAACACCGAUAGUGAAGACAGCUUACUAGACUUCAACUGACGCUGAGGCACGAAAGUGUGGGGAUCAAACAGGAUUAGAUACC
rnacentral:rRNA from 1 species